GAUGAACGCUGGCGGCGUGCUUAACACAUGCAAGUCGAACGAGAAAUGGAGACGGAAACCUUCGGGCGGAAGGCUUCAUUUCGAGUGGCGGACGGGUGAGUAACGCGUGGGUAACCUGCCUCAUACAGGGGGAUAACAGUUGGAAACGACUGUUAAUACCGCAUAAGACCACAGCACCGCAUGGUGCGGGGGUAAAAACUCCGGUGGUAUGAGAUGGACCCGCGUUCGAUUAGCCAGUUGGCGGGGUAACGGCCCACCAAAGCGACGAUCGAUAGCCGAUCUGAGAGGAUGACCGGCCACAUUGGGACUGAGACACGGCCCAAACUCCUACGGGAGGCAGCAGUGGGGAAUAUUGCACAAUGGGGGAAACCCUGAUGCAGCGACGCCGCGUGAGUGAAGAAGUACUUCGGUAUGUAAAGCUCUAUCAGCAGGGAAGAAAAUGACGGUACCGGAGUAAGAAGCCCCGGCUAACUACGU
rnacentral:rRNA from 1 species